rnacentral:rRNA from 1 species
UUCCGUAGGUGACCUGCGGAGGAUCAUUA